GCUUUUAAUGGAAAAAAGCCUUCCACUGGUUUUAGGGGCCAGCCUCUCCCGGUGCAAGUCCGAGUAAAAGCU
rnacentral:tRNA from 1 species